GACAGAGGUGCCAAGCGUUAGGCGGAAUCACUGGGCUUAAAGCGUGUGUAGGCGGAAUGGUAAGUACCUUGUGAAAUCCCAUGGCUCAACUAUGGAAGUGCACUCGAAACUGCCUAGCUAGAGUCUCGGAGAGGAAGGUGGAAUGCCUGGUGUAGAGGUGAAAUUCGUAGAUAUCAAGCGGAACACCGGUGGCGAAGGCGGCCUUCUGGACGAUGACUGACGCUGAGACGCGAAAGCGUGGGGAGCAAACAGG
rnacentral:rRNA from 1 species